rnacentral:rRNA from 1 species
AACGAACGCUGGCGGCAUGCCUAACACAUGCAAGUCGAACGAGACCUUCGGGUCUAGUGGCGCACGGGUGCGUAACGCGUGGGAACCUGCCCUUAGGAUCGGCAUCACUCCCCGAAAGGGGUGCUAAUACCGGAUAAUGUUAUCGGACAAAAGAUUUGUCGCCUUUGGAUGGGCCCGCGUUGGAUUAGCUAGUUGGUUGGGUAAAAGCCUACCAAGGCGACGAUCCAUAGCUGGUCUGAGAGGAUGAUCAGCCACACUGGGACUGAGACACGGCCCAGACUCCUACGGGGGGCAGCAGAGGGGAAUAUUGGACAAUGGGCGAAAGCCUGAUCCAGCAAUGCCGCGGGAGUGAUGAAGGCCUUAGGGUUGUAAAGCUCUUUUACCCGGGAUGAUAAUGACAGUACCGGGAGAAUAAGCUCCGGCUAACUCCGUG